UUGUCCGGUGAGAUGGAGUCGGACCCCAGGGGUCCGGCUGCUCAGCUCCUUAGGGCGUAGUUACGGAUAACUACGCGAGUCUUGGCACAGUAGGAGUGGGUACCCCAGCUGCAGGGUACCGACAGUGUACGACAUGAUUUUUUCUUGUUGUUAGCUAAGAUAACCGAGUUGUAGAAAUCCAUGUGAAAAAUACAGUGAAAAUCAAGGAUCACCUACAAAGACAGACUUCUUAAGAAUAUAGAGAUUUUCUUCAUGAUGAGCUUUGAGAUGAGUUGAAUUUCAAUGAUAUUGAUCCACCUCAUUGGAAUCAACUCAUCUCAAAGUUCAUUGUGAAGAAAAUCCCUAUAUUUUUAAGAAGUCUGUCUUUGCAGGUGAUCCUCGAUUUCACUGUGUUUUUCACAUGGAUUUCUACAACUCAGUUAACUUAGCUAACAAUAAGAAAAAUCCUAUUGUGCACCAAAAGUGGAUUGAUUGGAGCAAAUAUCAUACUUUGAGUGACCUAACUCUUGAUGCAGUUCUAGAUCAUUUGGAAAACGGAGAUAUGAUGCCAAUCGUAAAUUUUUUAUAUAAUUUGAGUGAUGAGUUGAUAGCUCAAUUCUUUGGCACCCAUUGGAUUGAGUCUAGUGAUGCAUGUCAUCAUUAGCAGAUGCAUUUUAUGAUCCAAGAAUAGAAGUACUAUUGCAGCUAUAUAAGAUUUGCCAAGACUCUUGGUUUCUCUCAAGUAGAUUUGGACAAACGUAAGUUGCAUAAUAUAAUGAGCCAUGCUUUGACGAUUGUGCACAUAUACAUUACGAUUAACCACCAUAUGAAUAUUUUGUUACUGUCAAGAUGAUUCCCUACUACCGGUAUGUCAAUGCACUUUAUUGUCAAACAAUCAUUCCUAAAGGAGGUAAUAAAACCAAAGUUUAAUCUUCAUAUAAGAUAUUUAUUGAUUUCUUUCAUGAAGAUGGUAGUGGAAGAUAUUUUAGUGUGUUUCACAUCAUUUGGGAAGAAAUUUGCAUCACACCUUAGUCCUCUCUCAAGAGUUGCACUCAUGCUCCAUAUAUUAUGAGAAUAUUGAUGCGGUGAUAAGAAGAUUUCUGUAAUGAUGUAGGGCAUGAAGGUUAUUGUCCAAAUCGAGUCAAUCUGGAUAGUCCUCUAAAUCUCUCUCGGAGCCCAAACCUUCGAAUACUCAAUCCUCUCAAACCCCUAUGCCUUCACCUCCAACCAAUAGGCCUUCUUCAUCUAAAGUUGGUGCUGCUUCUAGUCCUAUGUCUCGUCGUGGGGUCAUGGGCUAUAUUCUUUUAUCAAGAAAGUGCUCAUGGUGAUGUUUAUGAGCAUCAUGAGCGCUUAAGGAAGUUUAUGAGGCACAAAAAAUCAACAUUGCUUGUCUGAUUUAGUUUAAUCUUCAGCCUCCUUUUUCCUCCUUUGCCACUGUUUGAGCCUUUUCCCACUCCCGUAUUUGUUCUCGAUAGUAUAUUUGACUUGUUUGAUUACAGAGAGAUUCAAACCGCUCCCGAGGACCUUGGAGGUAAUAGUGCUCAUUUUGCUAGUGAUGGUAAUCAUGGCGCUGCUGGUGGUGAAGGAUAUAGGGGUGGAUUUGCUACUGGUGGAGAGUUUGCUGCUGGUCCAAGUGGUGGUGAGUUUAGUGUUAGUACAAGUGAUAGUGGUCUUCAAUUCUUUGAUGCUAAAACCCUUGCCGAUUUCAUCGCUCGCUACAACCGUGGAUACAUGGGUUCUUCUCAUCCGCAUGAUGGUAACGGUAAUGACAUGGAUGAAGAUUAAGUGCUCAUGGUUCUCCUUCUCCUUUUUGCCACUUGAUGACAAUGGUGGAGAAGAAAAUGGAAGAUCUCCAUGUUCUGUCAAAUCCUAUCUAUCUAACUAUUUAUGUAUUGGGACAUGUAAGAACUUAUUUGAUAUGUGUGUGCUUGUGAUGAACCAUGUGAUGUGUGGUUCUUGAUGAUCUCUAUUCAAGAUUAGCUAGGAAAUGUGAACUUUAUAUUUAUAAGACUCUAAUUGCUAGUGUGGUGAACCAUGUAUCAUAUGUAAUGAACUAUGUUUCUUUAUUUGUA